rnacentral:rRNA from 1 species
UGGGGAAUUUUGGACAAUGGGGGCAACCCUGAUCCAGCAAUGCCGCGUGUGUGAAAAGGCCUUCGGGUUGUAAAGCACUUUUGUCCGGAAAGAAAACGUCGUGGUUAAUACCCGUGGCGGCUGACGGUACCGGAAGAAUAAGCACCGGCUAACUACGUGCCAGCAGCCGCGGUAAUACGUAGGGUGCAAGCGUUAAUCGGGAUUACUGGGCGUAAAGCGUGCGCAGGCGGUCCGCUAAGACAGAUGCGAAAUCCCCGGGCUUAACCUGGGAACUGCAUUUGUGACUGGCGGGCUAGAGUAUGGCAGAGGGGGGUAGAAUUCCACGUGUAGCAGUGAAAUGCGUAGAGAUGUGGAGGAAUACCGAUGGCGAAGGCAGCCCCCCUGGGCCAAUACUGACGCUCAUGCACGAAAGCGUGGGGGAGCAAACAGGAUUCAGAUACCCUGGUAGUCCACGCCCU